rnacentral:rRNA from 2 species
GCAGUCGAACGAACUCUGGUAUUGAUUGGUGCUUGCAUCAUGAUUUACAUUUGAGUGAGUGGCGAACUGGUGAGUAACACGUGGGAAACCUGCCCAGAAGCGGGGGAUAACACCUGGAAACAGAUGCUAAUACCGCAUAACAACUUGGACCGCAUGGUCCGAGUUUGAAAGAUGGCUUCGGCUAUCACUUUUGGAUGGUCCCGCGGCGUAUUAGCUAGAUGGUGAGGUAACGGCUCACCAUGGCAAUGAUACGUAGCCGACCUGAGAGGGUAAUCGGCCACAUUGGGACUGAGACACGGCCCAAACUCCUACGGGAGGCAGCAGUAGGGAAUCUUCCACAAUGGACGAAAGUCUGAUGGAGCAACGCCGCGUGAGUGAAGAAGGGUUUCGGCUCGUAAAACUCUGUUGUUAAAGAAGAACAUAUCUGAGAGUAACUGUUCAGGUAUUGACGGUAUUUAACCAGAAAGCCACGGCUAACUACGUGCCAGCAGCCGCGGUAAUACGUAGGUGGCAAGCGUUGUCCGGAUUUAUUGGGCGUAAAGCGAGCGCAGGCGGUUUUUUAAGUCUGAUGUGAAAGCCUUCGGCUCAACCGAAGAAGUGCAUCGGAAACUGGGAAACUUGAGUGCAGAAGAGGACAGUGGAACUCCAUGUGUAGCGGUGAAAUGCGUAGAUAUAUGGAAGAACACCAGUGGCGAAGGCGGCUGUCUGGUCUGUAACUGACGCUGAGGCUCGAAAGUAUGGGUAGCAAACAGGAUUAGAUACCCUGGUAGUCCAUACCGUAAACGAUGAAUGCUAAGUGUUGGAGGGUUUCCGCCCUUCAGUGCUGCAGCUAACGCAUUAAGCAUUCCGCCUGGGGAGUACGGCCGCAAGGCUGAAACUCAAAGGAAUUGACGGGGGCCCGCACAAGCGGUGGAGCAUGUGGUUUAAUUCGAAGCUACGCGAAGAACCUUACCAGGUCUUGACAUACUAUGCAAAUCUAAGAGAUUAGACGUUCCCUUAGGGGACAUGGAUACAGGUGGUGCAUGGUUGUCGUCAGCUCGUGUCGUGAGAUGUUGGGUUAAGUCCCGCAACGAGCGCAACCCUUAUUAUCAGUUGCCAGCAUUAAGUUGGGCACUCUGGUGAGACUGCCGGUGACAAACCGGAGGAAGGUGGGGAUGACGUCAAAUCAUCAUGCCCCUUAUGACCUGGGCUACACACGUGCUACAAUGGAUGGUACAACGAGUUGCGAACUCGCGAGAGUAAGCUAAUCUCUUAAAGCCAUUCUCAGUUCGGAUUGUAGGCUGCAACUCGCCUACAUGAAGUCGGAAUCGCUAGUAAUCGCGGAUCAGCAUGCCGCGGUGAAUACGUUCCCGGGCCUUGUACACACCGCCCGUCACACCAUGAGAGUUUGUAACACCCAAAGUCGGUGGGGUAACCUUUUAGAACCAGCC